rnacentral:rRNA from 1 species
GACGAACGCUGGCGGCGUGCUUAACACAUGCAAGUCGAACGGUGAAGCUCCAGCUUGCUGGAGUGGAUCAGUGGCGAACGGGUGAGUAGCACGUGAGCAACCUGCCCCUGACUCUGGAAUAAGCGCUGGAAACGGCGUCUAAUACUGGAUACGAGAAGGGUCCGCAUGGGCACUUUCUGGAAAGUUUUUCGGUUGGGGAUGGGCUCGCGGCCUAUCAGCUUGUUGGUGAGGUAAUGGCUCACCAAGGCGACGACGGGUAGCCGGCCUGAGAGGGCGACCGGCCACACUGGGACUGAGACACGGCCCAGACUCCUACGGGAGGCAGAAGUGGGGAAUAUUGCACAAUGGGCGAAAGCCUGAUGCAGCGACGCCGCGUGAGGGAUGACGGCCUUCGGGUUGUAAACCUCUUUCAGCAGGGAAGAAGCGAAAGUGACGGUACCUGCAGAAGAAGCACCGGCUAACUACGUG